CCUACGGGAGGCAGCAGUGGGGAAUAUUGGACAAUGGGCGAAAGCCUGAUCCAGCCAUGCCGCGUGUGUGAAGAAGGCCUUCGGGUUGUAAAGCACUUUCAGUGGGGAAGAAAGCCUUGGGGCUAAUACCCUCGAGGAAGGACAUCACCCACAGAAGAAGCACCGGCUAACUCCGUGCCAGCAGCCGCGGUAAUACGGAGGGUGCGAGCGUUAAUCGGAAUUACUGGGCGUAAAGCGCGCGUAGGCGGUCUGAUAAGCCGGUUGUGAAAGCCCCGGGCUCAACCUGGGAACGGCAUCCGGAACGGUCAGGCUAGAGUGCAGGAGAGGAAGGUAGAAUUCCCGGUGGAGCGGUGAAAUGCGUAGAGAUCGGGAGGAAUACCAGUGGCGAAGGCGGCCUUCUGGACUGACACUGACGCGGGGGUGCGAAAGCGUGGGUAGCAAACAGGAUUAGAUACCCGAGUAGUC
rnacentral:rRNA from 1 species